UACGUAGGGGGCUAGCGUUGUCCGGAAUCAUUGGGCGUAAAGAGCGUGUAGGCGGCCCGGUAAGUCCGCUGUGAAAGUCGGGGGCUCAACCCUCGAAUGCCGGUGGAUACUGUCGGGCUAGAGUGCGGAAGAGGCGAGUGGAAUUCCUGGUGUAGCGGUGAAAUGCGCAGAUAUCAGGAGGAACACCAAUUGCGAAGGCAGCUUACUACACAGUGAUUGACACUGAGGCACGAAAGCGUGGGGAGUCAAACAGGA
rnacentral:rRNA from 1 species